rnacentral:lncRNA from 1 species
AGUAAUGCUGAUAACCACAGUGAGCACCAAAGCCAAAUGCCAAAAACCAAAAAGGAUGGCAAGAAUCAACCACAGGGGACAUCAGAGGACCACAGGUGGAGGAGAAGAGGCGAAAGUGGAAGCAACACAGGAUUACUCUGGAUGCUAUGCUGAGAAGAAACUGAAGACAAUGGUGGAAGUGGGAAAGCUUAUGACUCAGAAUAACUAUUUCUAAUAACAAAUUUUAAGUUCUCUUCAUGAGCAGCUGACACAAAUCUUCAACUCAUUGAUGAUGGCAUCUGACUGUUCCAGGUAUUAAGAAGAGAGAAAGAAUCUGAGAAAUUAUGGCGUACUCAACUGUGGACAGCUGAAAGUCUGGCAUAGCGUGCCCUCAUCAUCACAAAUGGGCUCGCAUUACAAGCUACACUUAUUUGACAACUAUCAGCAUUUGUCAACCGGCACUCAGAUUUGAAGACUCAUUUCACAGCUGGAGCAAGAGAAGACAGGAAGGAAAAAUCAGAGUAAGGUUUCAAUGAGUUUCUGCAAAUUCUCAGAAGUUUUGCUGCCACUCAGUGUCACAAUAACAAAAAGAAAUAAAAAUAGCUGAUAUUUACUAAA